rnacentral:lncRNA from 1 species
CCAGGGAGCAAAGUGCUAGCUGUUUUUCAUUGUUCAGAUGUUUUACCUGAGAAACAAACUGUUGCCAUCACAUCCUCAGACCUGCUAGUGCCGUUGUGUGCAGUUUUGAAGGCGUAAAUGGUACAAGAUGCCGUCCCAGUUGUGCUUGGAGUUUCAGGUCUAGGCCAAGGGACAGGCCAGCUGGGCACACAGAAGGUAAUACUUCAGAGUAGGGAGAGACAUGGAUGCCCCUGGGUAUCUGGCACUUUAGCCAGUGGUACAGGCCACAGAGGUACAGGCCACACGCUGUACCUCCCAGUGGUCCAUCCCUGCAGCGCAUAUGAGCCAGGUCUUGGAAUCAGUGACAACGCUUUCUGCAGUGCUGUGGUCACAGGGUCCCUUCAAACAGCCCUGUCCAGCAUCUUGACAGGCUGAGGGGCUCGGUGUACAGAUUUCUUUCUGUGGAUGCCAAGAAACUGAGCAGAGAGCCUUCUUAAAACCCACCCUAAGGGCUACCAGGUCCAUGUGCCCAUGGUAGGGACCCAGCAGAUGCUAGCCUGACCCCUCCUCCCUUAGCUAUGUAGGUACAUGUGGUAGAGGUUGGCUGCUCCUGGCUCAAACAGGAGGAUCCAGUAGCUGUCUACCACCCACCAGGUUUCUAAGAUGCCAUGUGGAGACGGGGUCCACCCCAUUCUCUUCAGAAAUAGCAGCUUGUUUUCUCUGCUGGCAUGUGUCCAAGCAGCGAGAGCAGACUGGUAACUGAAAGCACAUAGGAGCAUGAGGCAGUGAGAGCCCAGGGGAGGAAGCCUUCUGGUGACCCUGCUUCUGCAUCCUGCCUUCCCAGCUGUCCACCAGUUUCAGAGGAGGUGCCAUGCUCCCUCACCCAGGCACCGUCAUAUGCAGUGGCUGGCCCUGUUUUAGAGCCAUGCAACACAGGCCGGUGAGUGGUAGAGCUGCACUGCUUCCACAAGGGGAGGCAGAAGGCUCUCCUCACAAGCCUGCUUGCUUUCUUCUCUAUCAGUGGAGGGUUUUGGAAGCCCUAGUUUUCUGCUGUGAUUUAGGGAGGCCAGGUUCAAGGUCCCUGGGACCUUUGCUGCUUUGGGAGGGGCCUGGGGUCUGAGCUAGAGGGAAGCUUGUCACUCUUCGGGAGCUUUCCUCUUGCCUGUCUGCUCCCCUCACCCCACCGCUGAAUUGGGGAGGGGUGUCCCAGGCCACAUCACUGGAUAGUUAGAAAUAAAUUGCUGUGCAAUCAAAGCUGA